rnacentral:lncRNA from 1 species
CUGAAGCCCUAUUACAUAGGCCAACAGCCUGGAUUGAUCGACCAUGUGCGCCUCGCCUAAUGAGGUGGACAACCGUCGAGCCAUGCGACGUUAAACGAAGCGCUUCGUGGGAGGCAACCCACGAGUUCGAUUGGUAACUUAUUUUGUUUUUUUUUUCUUUUCUGUGUGUGUGUGAAACGUUGUUGCAGGUAAGGAGUGGAACUUGGAGAG